CAAAGGCUUAGUGUGUUCAUCAGUGGUGAGUUUAACAACACUCAACUGCAGGUAAAACAGCAUUCAGCGGUGAGUUUAACAACACUCAACUGCAGGUAAAACAGCAUUCAGCGGUGAGUUUGACCAAAGCAACGCUCAACUGCAGGAAAAACGGCAUUAAAAGGUGAGUUUAACAACGCUCCAAGGCGCGUGCAAGUAAGCAGUUUAACCGUUUUCUUACAACCCAUUCUCGCUUAUCGCUUAUUCAUCGUUUAUCACUAUGAAAUCACGUUCAAGAAGUUUCAUUCAGCACACAUCGCGAUACUUGCCAUCAGUUUACAUGUGCCACAGGUUUGGUGAGUAGAUAAGCAGUCAGCCCAGUGGUGUUUCUGGAGAGGUAUUCCUUCAGAAAUGGAGAAGACAGAAAGCUGCGGAGGCAGACAUUUGCAGCACCCAAGUGUUCGAGUGAGCAUGAUGACCACAAGUGUGUGUCGAACUUUUCAUGACCUGAUGACUGUGUUUCCCAAUCCUGGUCCUGGAGAGCCCCAACACUGCACGGUUUUGGUGUCUCUCUUAUCUGACAAACACACUUUUGAGGUCUUGGAGUCUUCUCUGAUGAGCUGAUGAGCUGAAUCAGGUGUGUUUGAUCAGGGAGACAUCUCAAAUGUGCAGUGUUGGGGUUCUCCAGGACCAGGAUUGGGAGCCACUGCCUUAUGGGACACACUUAAGUGUUUACAGAGAUUUU